UCUGAUGGAAGGGCGCACAGGACAGGGUACGGGUGCUUUGAGUUUGGGAAAAUGGGUAUUUCUGAACCUGGGUUGGGAAGGGUGUGUUCCUUCAAGCCCAGAAUGGAAAGAUGAUAGAAUUUGAAUCAAAAGAGACGACCUAACUUUGUUCUUGAGUCCGAUGCCUCCAACAAGCCAGAGACUAAGUCUGGAACCCCCCAGGCUCCCGCUGACAGGCUGGCAUCCGUGGAACAAGACUAAGGAGAAGCAAGAAGCCUUGCCACUGCCCUCCAGCACUAGCUGCUGUACUCAGCUCUAUAGGCAACCACUCCCAACCAGACUACUGAGGAGGAUCGUCCGUGUGGAGCUGCAGGAGGCUGACGGGGACUGCCACCUCCAAGCUGUUGUGCUUCACCUGACUCGGCGCAGUGUCUGUGUUCAUCCCCAGAACCGUAGCCUGGCUCGGUGGUUAGAACGCCAUGGGAAAAGGCUCCAGGGGACCCUACCCAGUUUAAAUCCGGUACUACAAAAGAAAAUGUGCCCGAGCCCCCAAAAGCAAAAGUAAUAAAGCAACAUUAGACGAUAAUCUCCAAAAA
rnacentral:lncRNA from 1 species